rfam:Stegodyphus mimosarum contig86745, whole genome shotgun sequence.
GCCUUCGUGGUGUAACGGUAGCAUACUCGGAGCAUAUUCGAGAGGUCCAGGUUCGAGUCCCGACGAGGACA